AAAAACUUAUAAUUUUUAAAAAAUCUUUCAAGAGCAAAACUUUGCAGUUUUAUAGAGGAAAAAAAGUCCUUAUAUCAAAAAGAAACAAAUAGCAGUCGCACUGAAUUCAAUUGGCCGGAAACUGCAGCCGGAGUUCGUCGUCGACCACCAGAAACAGUAACACACUCCUUUUUCUUUUUGAUGGCUUUCCAAUCACUCUUCUCAAAGUAUAAAAUCUUACCCUCUCACUUUUCCAUUCUUCUCCAACACAAUUUCAAUUUCCAUCAUCGGUUUCACUCUCUCCCAACCCCACAAAUUUCCGCUUCAACGUUACCUGAACUUGUAAACGAGAUUUCUCGUAUACUUAGUGAUCACCGACACCCUCACCAUGACCUUCAACUCUCUCUCACUCCAUUUUCAUCACAAAUUUCCACUGAUUUAGUUCAACACGUUUUGAAAAGGUGUAAUCAUCUUGCCUUUUCAGCUCACAGAUUCUUCCUUUGGGCUAAAUCAAUUCCAGGUUUUCAACACAAUGUUGAUAGUUUCCACAUUCUGAUAGAAAUCUUAGGUAGUUCUAAACAAUUUGCAAUACUUUGGGAUUUUCUUGUAGAAAUUAGGGAUUCUAAUUGUUGUGAAAUUAGUAAUGAAAUUUUCUGGCUCAUUUUUAAGGCGUAUAGUCGAGCCGAUUUGCCAGAUGGUGCGAUUCGGUCUUUUAUGAGAAUGGAUGAGUUUGGAAUUGAGCCGUGUAUUAAUGAUUUUGAUAUGCUUUUGUAUAUUUUAUGCAAAAGGAAGCAUGUUAAGCAGGCUCAACAGUUUUUUGAUCAAGCUAAGAAUAGGUUUUUGUUGACUGCUAAAACUUAUAGCAUUUUGAUUUGUGGAUGGGGUAAGAUUGCUGAUUCAGGGAAAGCACGCGAGGUGUUUGAAGAAAUGGUUGAGCAAGGAUGUCCUGUGGAUUUGCUUGCAUAUAAUAAUUUGUUAGAGUCACUUUGUAAAGGAGGCAAUGUGGAUGAAGCUAUGAAUUUAUUUCAUGAUAUGUUGUCAAAGAGAGUUGAGGUAGAUGCUUUUACUUACUCGAUAUUCAUUCGUUCGCAUUGUGUUGCAAAUGAUAUGCAUUCAGCUUUUAGGGUUCUUGACCAAAUGAAAAGAUGUAACCUUUUGCCGAAUGUGUUUACGUACAACUGCAUUAUAAAGCGACUUUGUAAGAAUAAAAUGGUGGAAGAAGCGUAUGAAUUGUUGGACGAAAUGAUUUCUAGCGGAUUAAAACCAGACACUUGGAGUUAUAAUGCAAUACAAGCUUACCAUUGUGAUCAUUGUGAGGUCAAUAGGGCUCUAAGGUUAAUGUCUAGAAUGGAAAAAGAUGAUUGUCUUCCUGAUCGACAUACGUAUAACUUGGUGCUGAAAUUACUGAUUAGGAUAGGAAGGUUUGACAAGGUAACUGAAGUUUGGGAAAACAUGGGGGAUAAAAAGUUUUACCCUUCUGUCUCAACAUAUUCUGUCAUGAUUCAUGGUUUUUGUAAGAAGAAGGGUAAACUAGAGGAGGCAUGUAGGUACUUUGAGAUAAUGGUUGAUGAAGGAAUACCGCCAUAUGUUACUACCAUUGAAAUGCUAAGGAAUCGGCUCUUGGGCUUAGGGCUUUUGGAUAACAUUGAAAUACUUGCUAAUAAAAUGAGGCAGAGUACAUCAUGUUCAAUCCAAGAAUUGGCAAAUAUUAUGACUGGCGCUAGAGCAGCUCAAAAGACUUCGAGACGUGAUGAGUCGGACAUCGAAAGUGAUUGAAUAAGUGGCUAUUUGUUUCUCAAAAUUGGUAUGGUUGGAAACAUUUUUAUUUAUGAAAAUUACUUUAUGCUAAUUUAACAAAUAUGUGGAGCAGCCUAUCUUUUUACAUCAGUGUGUGCAUUGAAGAUUCUACUUCUUUUUGCAUCAAUAAUUUAUUUGUUGUUGUGACAUUACUUUUCUCACAUUCUCUUUUUUAGGCUAUGUUUGAUUGAUGAAAGGGAUGGAAUUAUAUGAGAUGAUAUUCUGUUUCAUUAUAUAAGUUUAUUUAAAUAUGAUGAAAUGUAUUCUAUUUCAUUCCAUCUAAUAGCUCUCAUUUUUCCCCUUCAUUUUGGGAACUUGGGAUGAUUUUUUUUAUAAUGGUAAUUUUGUUCCAUUCUAUUUUGCUUCAUUCAUUCCAUUUUAUCUGAUUACAUUUCAUUCAAGUAAAAAAUGUUCCUGCAUGAUGCAUUAGCCUUUAUUGCUCCCUAGGAUUAUAAUUUCAUUUCAGACUUGUAAUCGUUAUAGCCAACACAUUUUAUUUAUCGAUCUUCUUUACAAAAACAAACAUCCUAAAAGGGUUCGGGACGUUUUGUCCAGUCUGUUAACUCCUGCUCAACCUGUUUGUUCCUCUCCUGCACACACUUCUGUUGAAAAUAAAAACUCAGUCAUGGUUUCUUUGGUUUGCAAGUCUUCUGGAUUUGAGCUCCUCUGAGAAGAACAUACAAAGAAGGAUAUGUUAGUUUUGGAAGAGCUCUUCUGGAUGUUUCCUGCGGUCACAUAAUAGAGGGAAUAGAAGAGGUCCAAAACUUUCAUGACGAAAAUGGUGUUCCGCCCGAUGGUAAUGAAACUGAAAUAGUGGCGGUACACAUCCUACAGGAAGAAAACAUUUCAAAUGUUAGUAAGGGAAAUUAGCUUGGAAAAAAAUUAAUAUUUAUGUCAGAUCUGGAGAAGAUAAUGAUGUUAAAAUGAAUUUGGAAGGACCAAAGUAUGUUGUUGGUACUUCGGGCAUCAAACACAAUCACGAUAUCGAUGAAGGAGAGAGUCUGGUUUUAUAAGAUUGUAAAUCUGCUCUUCAUCAUUGUAAAGAAGGGAUAUUAAAUGGCAGCUAUCAUUACGAAAAAAUCAAGUGCUUUGUUGAAGUAGCUUAGCUUUCAUUGCAUAUCAUUGUUUUAGAUGAUUGUUGACCAGAGUUGGACCUCUAGAGCUGGCCGGAACGUCUGAAGUGCCGUGGAGGACGGUGGUGCGAGUUCUCCGACAGGGUGGUGUAUUUGCAAGUGCUCUAAAACUCAACAAUAUUUGAUUGAGUUGGGGUGAAAGGUGCAAAAUGAAUGCUUAAAAUUAUUUUAGAGAUAGAUUCCCUUAUAUAAUUGAGGUGUUUUGGAGGGAAAAAUUGUUGGCGCUAGUAACUGAACGUGAGGAAUGUGUGGCGCGUGUGAUUGUCCGCAUCCGAAUGAGCCUUGCCCGAAUCCGAAACAAUUGUUAAUUAGGAGAUCUUAUGAAUUGGUUCGCAAGCACAAGUCUCCCCUAUUGGUAGCUCUUAUUCCACGGUUAUGUCAAUAAUGCCAGUGUUACCAGAAUGAACAUGUAUAUGCUGCCCAACAAAAUGGUACUAAUAUAUGCAUUUAGAAAUGCAAUUAUAAUUGGGCAAAGUCGGAUAAACUGAUUCAACUACGGGUUACAUCUCCAUAACAAGAACAAAAUCAAGAAUUGAGCAAAACAAGUAUGGAUAUACUUCUGUGAUUACAAACCUGAAAUACCUUUCUCUCAAUAUUAACAUGGAGCACAAUGUCGACUCUGCAUAACUUUAAGGCUCUAUUUGGGAGUUUCGACUUGAUGGGAGGGGAGGGCUUUUAGAGAGUGGAAUAGAGAGAAAUAGAGAAAAAUAUUUUAGUUUAUUUGAGAAAGUGAUUUUGUAGAUAACAAGUAAUAUAUUUUUAAUUUUUAGAGCAAUAUAACAUCGUAGAAAGUAUUUGAAGAAAUUAUUCAUACUCUUCACAA